GAAAGAUUCAUCGGAAGAGGAUGGGCAUGCGGCGCAUUAGCUAGACGGCGGGGUAACGGCCCACCGUGGCGACGAUGCGUAGGGGUUCUGAGAGGAAGGUCCCCCACACUGGUACUGAGACACGGACCAGACUCCUACGGGAGGCAGCAGUGAGGAAUAUUGGUCAAUGGGAGAGAUCCUGAACCAGCCAAGCCGCGUGAGGGAAGACGGCCCUAUGGGUUGUAAACCUCUUUUGUCGGAGAACAAAACCCGGGACGAGUCCCGGACUGCGUGUAUCCGAAGAAAAAGCAUCGGCUAACUCCGUGCCAGCAGCCGCGGUAAUACGGAGGAUGCGAGCGUUAUCCGGAUUUAUUGGGUUUAAAGGGUGCGUAGGCGGUCCGUUAAGUCAGCGGUAAAAUUGCGGGGCUCAACCCCGUCGAGCCGUUGAAACUGGCAGACUUGAGUUGGCGAGAAGUACGCGGAAUGCGCGGUGUAGCGGUGAAAUGCAUAGAUAUCGCGCAGAACUCCGAUUGCGAAGGCAGCGUACCGGCGCCACACUGACGCUGAGGCACGAAAGCGUGGGGAUCGAACAGGAUUAGAUACCCUGGUAGUCCACGCAGUAAACGAUGAAUGCUGGUUGUCCGGGUCGAAUGAGAUCUGG
rnacentral:rRNA from 1 species